ACACACCCAAAUUGUUCCCAAACUUCCGACCCAUAUGUCCACCGGAGUUGAGAAUCCUAUUGAUCCGCAAUUUCAAGGUGUCACCAGGCUCAGCAGAGCGUAUACCAUCCAAAGAACCCUUAGCCCCCCCAAUGAUCGCUCCAGAUAAGUAGCCGGUUCCGGUAUAGUAUUGAAGGUUUUCACUCCAGCUGCGGCGCUGAUGGGCAGCUUCUUCAUGAAAAAGGAACUCAGGAGAAGUGGGUAAUUUGUAUAAGCUUUGAGCAGGAACGUUGUAGAGAUCCUGAUAUGGGUGGUAAUUGUAG
rnacentral:lncRNA from 1 species